GAUGAACGCUGGCGGCGUGCUUAAUACAUGCAAGUCGAACGAAGAGCCUUUGUAGCAAUACGAGGGUUUCUUAGUGGCGAACGGGUGCGUAACGCGUUGGUGACCUGCCCCGAAGUGUGGGAUAACAGUUCGAAAGGACUGCUAAUACCGCAUGUGGACACGAGGGUUAGAGGCUUUGUGUCUAAAGCAGUAAUGCGCUUUGGGAGGGACCUGCGUCCCAUCAGUUAGUUGGUAGGGUAACGGCCUACCAAGACUUCGACGGGUAGGGAACCUGAGAGGGUGGUUCCCCACACUGGCACUGAAACACGGGCCAGACACCUACGGGUGGCAGCAGUAGGGAAUAUUGGGCAAUGGGCGAAAGCCUGACCCAGCAACGCCGCGUGCACGAUGAAGGUCUUCGGAUCGUAAAGUGCUUUUCUGAGAGAUGAGAAAGGACAGUAUCUCAGGAAUAAGUCUCGGCUAACGACGUGCCAGCAGCCGCGGUAAAACGUAGGAGGCAAGCGUUAUCCGGAUUUAUUGGGCGUAAAGCGCGUGCAGGCGGUUUGGUAAGUUGGAUGUGAAAGCUCCCGGCUUAACUGGGAGAGGUCGUUCAAUACUACCAGACUCGAGAGCGGUAGAGGGAGGUGGAAUUCCCGGUGUAGUGGUGAAAUGCGUAGAUAUCGGGAGGAACACCAGUGGCGAAAGCGGCCUCCUGGACCGUUUCUGACGCUCAGACGCGAAAGCUAGGGUAGCAAACGGGAUUAGAGACCCCGGUAGUCCUAGCUGUAAACGAUGUGAACUUGGCGUCGGUGGUGUAAAAACCAUCGGUGCCGAAGCCAACGCGAUAAGUUCACCGCCUGGGGACUACGGCCGCAAGGUUAA
rnacentral:rRNA from 1 species